rnacentral:rRNA from 1 species
CGAACGGGUGCGUAACACGUGAGCAACCUACCGAAAUGUGGGGGAUAGCCGGCCUAACGGCCGAGUAAUACCGCAUACGCUUUCAGUGAGGCAUUUCAUUGAAAGGAAACCUACGGGACAUUUCGAGGGGCUCGCGGCCUAUCAGCUAGUUGGCGAGGUAACGGCUCACCAAGGCAACGACGGGUAGCUGGUCUGAGAGGACGAUCAGCCACACUGGGACUGAGACACGGCCCAG